rnacentral:rRNA from 1 species
CCUGGCGGCAGUAGCGCGGUGGUCCCACCUGACCCCAUGCCGAACUCAGAAGUGAAACGCCGUAGCGCCGAUGGUAGUGUGGGGUCUCCCCAUGCGAGAGUAGGGAACUGC